UACCUAUUCGAAGGGAUAGGGUCGGUUCGGCCGGAUUUUACACAAGUGUUGCAUGGCUGUCGUCAGCUCGUGUCGUGAGAUGUUGGGUUAAGUCCCGCAACGAGCGCAACCCUCAUCCUUAGUUGCCAUCAGGUAAUGCUGAGUACUUUAAGGAAACUGCCAGUGAUAAGCUGGAGGAAGGUGGGGAUGAUGUCAAGUCAUCAUGGCCUUUAUGGAGUGGGCUACACACGUGCUACAAUGGUGUCUACAAUGGGCUGCAAGGUGCGCAAGCCUAAGCUAAUCCCUAAAAGACAUCUCAGUUCGGAUUGUACUCUGCAACUCGAGUACAUGAAGUUGGAAUCGCUAGUAAUCGUGGAUCAGCAUGCCACGGUGAAUACGU
rnacentral:rRNA from 1 species